rnacentral:piRNA from 1 species
UUUUGAUUGCGGAUUAUUGAG